AGAAAUAUCUUCCAAUUUGGUCAACGUUAGAUACGCGAUGUUUCGUUUACAUCGUGCUUUAAUUAAGCCCGAUUCGCUAUUUCUUCGUCGCAACUAUCAAGUUUUAGUUGACGCCUGUCAACCUUAAACAAACGAAUCACGAUCCGAACAAAAUUUUUUUUAUCAACCGUUUACAAAGCGUGAUGCUGUUUGGUAACUUUUAAACGUAAUCAUUUUUAAGUCCGUACGCGUACAAAUAUUCUAAAAUGUACCAUCAAAAUAGAAUAUACGAUUUCUGAUUAUCCGCUUCUCGAUUAUUUUAUAGCUUGUUCAUCGACUAUUUGCAAUUUAUGUUAUACGAUUUAUCGGUAUAAAUGAUGAUUUACGUGUAUGAUGUAUCAACAUCUAAGCUCGAUAAAAUACAGGUAGAUACUUGCUCCUUCGGUGGACCAGAAGUGAAAGUGUGCUUUUUUUAAUGAGCCGCAACUCGACCGUAAGUCUCGACGCGUUCGUUAUUUAAGAAACGGAAUCCUCGUCUCGUUCGGAAUACCAGUUUUUCGUAUAAAAAUGACAGAAAACUAAAGAAUAGCUCGCAUAAAGGAAAAUUCAAGAAAAAAAGGAAAGAUGAAAGAGAAGAAAAAGUGGAUAUGAAAGAGUCUCCUCGUGAAUGUAUACCGACAGCGAUUAAUGAAAACGAUAAUGGUCCGUUACCACGGACCAUUACUUUUUGAAAAUUUUACGAUCAUGCUUUUAAAUACUUUGCUACUUCGUAGGUUCGUGACCUAAGAGGAAGUAGAGAAGGGCAAAGGAUGGAGGGAAAAUAAUUAUAGAAUGUGUACGUAAUCGUUAGGUUAGUGGACAAAAGUAAAAGGGACGAGAGAAAAUACGAGGGGAUAUUCGAAUUAUAUUCGACGAUAAAUGUUGAGGCUGUUGAUAAUGGUAAAUCAAUGUUUUCCAACCACGUAUCUGUUCCAAUGGGUUGGAAAUAGUUCGUACCAAAUUCUGCUCUUUUUAUGUUUUAUUACGUAGGGAGUUUCGCUACGGGAAUAAGAAGACAAGUGCCGAUGUCGAGUAUUCCAUAUGCCAUAAUUACUACGUCGGUGUACAUAAAAUAAAGCUUGUUCUAAAACAGCUUCCAACGAAGUUUCCUUUCUCUCGUUACGAUGUGAGUUGUAAUUUUACGCAACGUAUUCGUAGGUAGGUCAAUAGUUGUACCCUUGUGCUUACCGCGAUCCUUUCGAAUCUUAUCGUCAUCGUCCGAUCGUCCAAUCAUCCGGUCGUCCAAUUUUUCUCCUCGUUAAUUUUCGUUCGUAUUUAAAUGUAAGGGAAAAAUUAAUUUCGCGAUAUUAUUGAUCGAAAGAAUCGAUUCGAAAGUAACGAUAGAAGCGAUACGAAAAGUGCGAUGAUUCGAGUGAAACGGUCCAUGGUGGUCUCUCUCGAGUCGUAUCGAUUCUUCUGCGUAUUCGAGUUUUUAAUACCUAUAUAUCUAUCGACUCGCGGUGAAAGCGCAAACGUAAACAUUAUCAAAAUUAUUCGCGUAAAAGUAGUUUAGCGAAACCGGAGGACAAAAAGUGGCAAUCGACUGGGUGGAAAAGUGGAAGUGGAACGUUUAACAGAACAGAACAGGCGACAUUCCGCGAUAGAAAACUUCCGUAAGAUUGCAAAAAAAAAGAAAGACGUAUUACGAAACGGUAAUCGUUCUUUUCCAACAAUGAUCGGAGUAAAAUGUAUGCGCGAUGUUUAAGGAAUGUUAUUCUAAGUGAUUACGUUCUGUAUGAUACGAGAAAAAAAAUUGUCCACUUGUUGUUUACUUUUCUAAUGCGAUACUUAUAAUAUCUGCCAUGUUCGGUAUUGGAUAUAGUUGUGCGCGAUGUUGUAUCACGAUUCGCGAUCGUUCGUUCGUUCUUUCCUUCCGAGGAAUCUAGCGAAGCUUGUGCAACCAUAUUGUCAUAACUAGAUCUCGGAUUUGUUGCGCAACGAAAGGAAAACCAGUAUAUAUCCUAUUAUCGUCAUUGUUGUUUCUAUCUUUACGAUUUAAUUGAUUCCUAUUCUUUUGCUUGUCACAUGUUUUUCUAAUAAUAUCGAUAUUACUGCUAAAAAUCGAAUGAAUUAUUUCGCUCCAAAUGUCUAUACGUUUCAUUUCACAUUUCUUCUAACUCGAUCUUCUAACCUCGCUAAACGAUCGGUUAGGUAUACCUUGUACGACGAAUUGGGAAAAAAUAUUUCUACGUUAUAAACUGAAAGUUUUUGCGAUCCGAAAGCCAAACGACUUUGUUUUGAACUGUUUCGUCCUUCCACCCUUCCAUCCAAUUUCCUCGUUUUCUUUCGUUCCCUUUCAUUUUUUUAUUCUUUUUUGCUCGGAUAUAUGUUUGCGAGAAUACGGCAAAUAGAAAGGAAAACACCGGAGGGGGAGCAAGAGAAAGCGGAAACAAAUUGUUCUCGUAACUGAAAUUUAAUGAAUAAUAAAAUGAAGAUAACGGAUA